rnacentral:rRNA from 1 species
UACAGAGGGUGCUAGCGUUGUUCGGAAUCAUUGGGCGUAAAGGGCGUGUAGGCGGUUUGUUAAGUCAUGUGUGAAAGCCCCCGGCUCAACCGGGGAACGACGCAUGAAACUGGCAGCUAGAGUACCGAAGAGGGGGGUGGAAUUCCCGGUGUGAGCGGUGAAAUGCGUAGAUAUCGGGAGGAACACCUGUGGCGAAGGCGGCCUUCUGGGACGGAUACGUGACGCUGAG